UCCGGUUUGACACCGGCAGUCUCGCUAGAGUCCUCACCAUUACGUGUUAGCAACUAGCGACAAGGGUUGCGCUCGUUAAGGGACUUAACCCGACACUUCACAGCACGAGCUGACGACAGCCAUGCAGCACCUGUGUACGUUGUACCCUUGCGGGCCUCAUUCCUGUUUCCAGGAACUAAUCCGUACAUGUCAAACCCGGGUAAGGUUCUUCGCGUUGCUUCGAAUUAAGCAACAUGCUCCACCGCUUGUGUGAGCCCCCGUCAAUUCCUUUGAGUUUUAAUCUUGCGACCGUACUCCCCAGGCGGAAUGCUUAAAGCGUUAGCUGCGCCACUAGUGAGUAAACCCACUAACGGCUGGCAUUCAUCGUUUACGGCGUGGACUAC
rnacentral:misc_RNA from 1 species